UGUUACUGUUUCUUUAAGAAUCGGUGGCUAGGGGGCCUUUCAGAGAGAGCGGGGCAAGGCUCCCUUCUCACCCAAUCAACUGGGGAUGAGCUAGCAGAAGGGGACCCAGCAUAGAGGCUGCCUCUCUCAUAUAACUGGGCAGACACCAGAAGAUACCAGCAGGGAAAGGCAGGCCUCCUGAGCAGUCUGAAGAUGGGGAACCUGAGAUACAGAGAUGUGAACUGAUGUGCCCAAGGUAUAGAAGCAGACCCAAGAUUAGAAUUUGUGUUCCCUGUUGGUAGAAUCACCCUUAAACCUGCCAUUUCAAAGUCCAAUUACACACCUGUGUGAAAGGACAGUGAGAUUGCAGACAGGUUUACGAUGGACCGUAUGGAUGGUGUGAUACACAACCUGUCAGUUAGGGCUAUGCUACUGCUCUACUGCUUCGUUUUAUGGAUGUUCAUAUCAUACGGCUCAUUUGAUCUACUUCCUGUCUGAGAAGACUUUAGAGAAUAAGAUGGAAGAGAUAUAUCCUCUAGUUGGUCGACAGAACAAGGAAUGCAGAGCCUGAUUUUCUUCUGGAAUGCAUGCAUGAGUGGCUCCCGUUGUCUUCAGUGUCAGCUGUCUGCCCACACACCCAAGAACAAUGUUUGAUCCACCCUUAUCUUUCUUGCAUAAUUGGCUACAGCUCUCCUUUUAAGUACCCACUUCACCUGGCCAGCUGUAUUUACAGGGGUUUUUGUUCAUAUCUCCAAUGCAGAUAGUUGUGAACAAGAAUCCACAAGAAGUUUAUGACUGUGGUACACAGGGCUGCAGCUUUCUUUUUGCUGAAUGGAGAUGUAUUUAUUGUUGGUAAUAGUUGUAGUUACUUGGUCUAUCCUUUGUAAUUUACCAACUCCCACCACCAGGAGCAGCAAAUCUAAGAAUAUUUGAAAUAAAAUUUUGCUUCUUUCUUUCA